AUUGAAGUAGUUUAAGUAAAAUAUUGAUUUGUGGAAUCAAAGAUUAAUUAUACUUCAAUU
rnacentral:tRNA from 1 species